CGGCCAUCUGUAACGAAAGUGGGCGGGGCAACAAAAGCGAUCAAGCAAAUCAGAAGGAAAGUGAUCGGGUGAUUACCAGUGGGAGUGAGGUAUGGGGGUAAGAAUGAGGCAGUGGUGGCUCAAAGGUUAAGUCUCUGGGUUACUGAUCAGAAGGUCAAGGGUUCAAGCCCCAGCACUGCCAAGCUGCCACUGUUGGGCUCUUAACCCUAUCUGCUCCAGAGGUGCCGUAUCAUGGAUGAUCCUGUACUCUGACCCUGGUUUCCUAACAAGCUGGGAUACGUGAAGGAAGAAUGUCACUGUACCGUAAUGUAAACGUGAUAAAUAAAGGCCUCUUAAGGAUGUUUUGCUUCUACAUAUUCAUUCCUACUCGCACCUUAUAAGCCUUUCAUUACUGACCUUAUUCUGAAUAAGACACGGUGUUUACAUGAGCUGCUUUUAGAAGAUUCCGUUCAUGUUCCUGUUUUACAUGUUAUAGAACAAAGAUCGAUAAACAGCACGCGUCAUUACGUCCCCGCGCCACGCCGUCCGCUCCAGAACUUCACGUAUCGGCAUACAGUUCGUCUUCGUUAUGGUACCGUAUACAGUUUUGGGUGCUACACUCUUCAUUUUACAAAGGUUUUAAGUGCGGUUAAUUAUUUGUCGUGCUAUACGUGCAAACAGACGACUGCUUGAAGCCGUGGGCUGCGUCCCAAACCGUGUACUUGCCUACUAUAAAGCAGCCGAGAUACAUGUAUUUCACCUAAUAUAUAUAGUAGGCAAGUAUGCGGUUUGGGACGCAGCCGUGCUCUCUCGUUUGCCGUCAAACGUUCGAGCGCUGCCGUGUGUGCACGUGUCCUGUCGCAAAAUGCGGUGAAAACUCACACGACGUUAAUAGUGUGAUUAAGGUGUGUACAUGUCUGUAAUGCACGUCGAUAAUGCGACUAAAACAGGAAAACUCCACGUGUCUUAAUUCCAUUUGUGUUUACUCAGAGUAUGAGUUUAGUCGGAUUAAGGUCAUCAAUAGCCUGUAAUUUGCUGAAGUUAAAGAGUGUGUGCAUCUCCAAAUCAUACUCUAAUUAUUUGCUAGUUACUAAAUACUUUAUAUGAAUGUUAAAGCAGAGGGCAAAGGAAUAAGUAAAAACAUCUUCAGUACCGUUUUCCAUGCUAGCUGAAGGACGUGAUGGUUGUAAUUAGUGGUAACUCAGUGGUUAAAGAUGUUGGAUGUUAUUGAUCGGAAGAUCGUGAGUUCAAGCCCUUGAGCAAGGCCCUUAACCCUCAACUGCCCAGUUGUAUACACUGAGAUAAAAGUAAGUUGCUCUGGAUAAGGGCAUCUGCCAAAUGCCAUGAAUGUAAAUGUAGUUACCGUAUAACUGAGUUGCCUGUAGUUGCCAGUCCUCCUCUGCAGGUUCCCUGGCUUCUGCCAGUUGAUGGCUGCUGUCUGAAAAGCCCAGCUGGGAGGAUGAGGCUCCACCUGAGCGCCGAGAUUCAGGGCCACCCAGAAACUGAGGCGUCUCGUCUAGCGUAGCAUCAGCUUGAGCAGCAUCACACACAAAGGACUGAGUUUCAGCCACGGCAAAGUCGUCAUCAGUGUGACUGACACCUCCAGGAGAGACAGAAGGGUGGAGGAGAGAGGGGAGAACCGGCCCUUAAGGAGGGAAGUAAGAGAAACCAUGUGAUACUGAGAUUGAAAAAGUGAG
ensembl:lncRNA